GACGAACGCUGGCGGCGUGCUUAACACAUGCAAGUCGAACGGGCCCGCCCCUGUUUUUGGGGGUGGGUUGAGUGGCGAACGGGUGAGUAUCACGUGAGUAACCUGCUCCCUGCUCCUGGAUAACUGCUUGAAAGGGCGGCUAAUACGGGGUGUGCCGGCUGGUCCGCAUGGGCCUGGUCGGGAUAGUUUCAUCUUCGGGUGUUUCGGUGGGGGAUGGGCUCGCGGCCUAUCAGCUUGUUGGUGGGGUGAUGGCCCACCAAGGCGGUGACGGGUAGCCGGCCUGAGAGGGUGGGCGGCCACACUGGGACUGAGACACGGCCCAGACUCCUGCGGGAGGCAGCAGUGGGGGGUAUUGCACAAUGGGCGGAAGCCUGAUGCAGCGACGUCGCGUGAGGGAUGGAGGCCUUCGGGUUGUGAACCUCUUUCUCCGGUGGUGAAGGCCCUGUCCGUUGCGGCGGGGUUGACGGUAGCCGGGUAUGAAGCGCCGGCUAACUACGUG
rnacentral:rRNA from 1 species